rnacentral:rRNA from 1 species
GAUGAACGCUGGCGGCGUGCCUAAUACAUGCAAGUCGAGCGAACGGACGAGAAGCUUGCUUCUCUGAUGUUAGCGGCGGACGGGUGAGUAACACGUGGAUAACCUACCUAUAAGACUGGGAUAACUUCGGGAAACCGGAGCUAAUACCGGAUGAUAUUUUGAACCGCAUGGUUCAAAAGUGAAAGACGGUCUUGCUGUCACUUAUAGAUGGAUCCGCGCUGCAUUAGCUAGUUGGUAAGGUAACGGCUUACCAAGGCAACGAUGCAUAGCCGACCUGAGAGGGUGAUCGGCCACACUGGAACUGAGACACGGUCCAGACUCCUACGGGAGGCAGCAGUAGGGAAUCUUCCGCAAUGGGCGGAAGCCUGACGGAGCAACGCCGCGUGAGUGAUGAAGGUCUUCGGAUCGUAAAACUCUGUUAUUAGGGAAGAACAUAUGUGUAAGUAACUGUGCACAUCUUGACGGUACCUAAUCAGAAAGCCACGGCUAACUACGCG